AAAGUCGUAACAAGGUAACCGUAGGUGAACCUGCGGUUGGAUCAUUAUUGAAAACAAAUCUCUAGCUUGAGCGCAAGCGAAAGCUAGAGUAAUCUUUGGAGUCAUUGACUUAGAUUCGUCUAGUCUUUGCUCCAAUACACCCCCUCAUGUCUGCGGGGUUGCGGGGUAGUUCUCUAGGGAACAUGCCCGCAAUAAUGCGACAGUUAUGCGUGUAGACCCACUCUACUUUCGUAGAGUGAGUUCAAGCGCAGCCAUUAGACAUUGUUGGCUUUAGUUUUAAAGCUUUUUUGUUUUGCGCAUUGGCCUAGCUAAUGACUCAAUGAAAAAUAAUCUUGAAACAACUUUUGACAACGGAUCUCUUGGCUCUC
rnacentral:misc_RNA from 1 species